GCAGCAGCAAACAGCUUUGGGCUGACUGCUCAGGGCUGGGGCUGGGGGGAGCAGGCCUGGCCACAAACCCUCCUGCCUCCAAGAAAUCCUGAAAACCCAGAGCCAGCACUUGGGUUCAGUUUUCCUGAAACACCUGAAUUUUAAUUCUUGUGCACUUGUAGUCCCCUGCUGAGCCCCUGGACCACCAGCCCAUCUCCAGAGGGAGCAGGCAGGACCCCCUGGUGGUGUGCAGUGUAGAGCUGCUGUAUUUUACCAGCAUCAUUCCACAGCACUCUCCUGGUGGCAUUUGGUGCCGGAGCCGAGCGCUGCCCAGCAGUAAUUAAUGGGGCCCUUUCCUACCCCUCAGCUCCACAUCAGUGGACUAUCAAUUACUGAAGCCGAGCUGUGCAUUUCUGAGCUGCUGAAUAACCGAGGGGACUGCUGAGAGUCCAGAAGUGGCUGUCAUCUUCUCAUUAGAUCCUUGAAGAGGGUUGUGAGGAGACCAACCACCGAGGGCAAACUUGCCAUAAACAUUCUGAGCUGUGGGCUGUGAGCAGAGACUCAGGUCCCACCAGUACCACGAUCUCCAAACCCCCAGGGACAAAACGUGCUUUGGGAAACCUGCAAUCCCUCCAUCCUCCUACCAUGAAGCCCUGAAGCUAAGAGGGUUUCGAA